UCUCUCUCUCAAACCGAACCCUAGCACUCCACCACUCCCUUGCUGCCGCCACCUCCGGCGACCUCAGGCGGGAAUCGACGACCGGCGAGAUCCAGCACGCGCGCGGCGACGACAUGGCAUGGAUCCCCACGACUCCUCCUCCUCCUCUCUGGAUCGAUCCCCUCCAACACACCUCUUCCCCCUCUCUAGAUUGAUCCCCUCCAACCCAGCCGCCGCCGCAGACCUCCCCCAACCCCGGCCUCCUCCACCGCCGGCGACCCCUUCUCUUCCUCCCUCCCUCCACCUCCAGCAGUAGAUCCAUGCAGGACAGAUCUGAGCUCCACUGCCUCCGUUGCUCCCUUUCCCCCGACCAGAUCUGCCUCUUGCAUUCUGGCACCUCGCCGGUGUGGCUCCAGCGUUGCUCCGGCGACUCAGAUCCAACACGCUGUCGUUGCUUGAGCACCGGGACGCCAUCGACGGGACGUCUUCCUCCUCCCCUGUCCCGAAGGCAUGAAUGAUGCAGCUUCACUGCUACCCUGACGCCAUCAAGGCCGAAGACGAUGGCGGCGGUUCGAUGCGCGGCGAGGAGGCUCGGUGGCUCCCUGCUCCAGCGAGCGCAGGCGGAGGAGCGACGCCGGCUCGUGCCAAGGAGGCUCAUGCGCUCCCGCCACCUCUCCACCGAGGAAGCAAAAGAGAUCCAGCAGAAGAAGGAGGCGCUGUAUCUCCAGAACAGAGUUCUUUGAGAAAUCAGGCCUACUUUUGUUCUAUUAAUCUACUCCUAACAUAUUGGUUGUUUCUUCAAGAACAGAGGGAAACGUGAAAUAUUAUUAGUUGUAUCAGAAUAACAUGUGAAUUGUUAUUAGUUGUAUCGGAAUAGCAUGUGAACUGUUCUUAGUUGCUUCAGAAUAGCAUGUGAAGUAUUCUUAGUUGUUCCAUAAUAGCAUGUGAAGUAUUCUUAGUUGUUCCAGAAUAGCAUGUGAAGUACAUCUCCCUUUGUAGCUUGGCCUAGGGUCAGUUGAAUGCUCAAGACAUGGGUAGUUUAGUUUCAGGUUCAGGUUCAGCGAGAUGGCUCUUUGAACCAUGAGUAGGUAGCACAACGCAUGCCUUGCCGGCUGACAGUAGUUGUGAUGCGGCUCUACUACUGUACCAUGUGUUCCUACUACUAGCUCUAGUCGUGGAUGCUAGGUAGCUCCAUGUUUUCUCUGUUUUUAUGUAAUCCUAGAUAGAACCAUACAACUGUGGAUGACAAACACUGCAAUUUAAUCUAAAAUUGUCAUCAUGAUCCUAGCAAAUACUCCUCAAAUUACUGUAAAUUGUUGCACGAUUAGGGGCUAGUGUAGAUGCAAAAUAAGGUUGCACUUUUAGAGGAGAUAAUCCACUGAUGUUGGAUGCUUGGUAGUUGUCUUGUGUUGUGUGCAUGUCGGUACUAGUAGUAUGUCCGUGAGCAACAAGCAUACGAUUUGUGCCUAUGCUCUACUAUAUUGGCCUCAUGGGUCAUCGCUGAUUGACCAGGACUAUAGAUUAUUCCUUCAGCGUACUAUUGCUUUCUCAAGUCAACUCAAGCAACAAUUCAUGUGGCUCGCUCAAUCGGGUGGGCGGCAUAUUUAUUCAGUAUAUUCUCUGAAAUUGCAAGUUCUGAAGUGUAUCAUUUUUUUUGUGCAGUCAGAGAGCUGAACGGGGCGAGGACGGAGGCGUCGGUGAGGGCGUACGGCGGCGCCGGCCAGAGCAAGGUGUCCAACAAAUGGGUUAAGUCGAAUUAGCAUUUUGUACUAGCCAUCCCUGUUUCCUGCUUUUAUAUGUACACAAACUCGAACCUAAGUUAGGCCUUUGCAUUGUCAUGGUGGUCUCUGUGUGUGAUUCCGCAUGGUAAUACUGAUGCAUAAAACUUGGUUUGGUAUGGAAUUGGCAACCUAUUUAAGUUGUUAGUUUACUUGUGGAUUUUGACAUAGUGAUCCCUUAAUCCUUGUAGAGCAUUUUUGUUUGCUCUGAACCUGACUGUUAUGUCAGUUUUCAUGUGACAACCUUGAUGUGCUAGUUUAUUUUAUUGCAAAGCUUGCCGUGCAAGGUGCAGAGCAUAAGGUGCCCUGCUUGUAUCGUGCUGAAUCUAGUUAGGCAGAGGAAUCCUUGCUAAUUCUGGCAAGUUUUUUGCUUUCACAUCCGAGUUAAAGAAAACUGGAAUUGAUCUUACAAGUGGCUCAAAAUGUAAGACUGUCUGAUUCCAUUUUAAGGUUGUCACUAACCUGGUAGUUUUAUUUGGUGAUGCAGUUUGUAAGUUAAAAUGAUGCCCAGGGUUCAGGACAUGUGUGAUUUCUCUUGACAUAGGUGCUCCUUCAUUUCCGCUGCCAUAUGCUAGAGCCGGCAAUGGACUCCUGGAUGACAGUGGAAGC